AAUCUGGAACCCAAAAGUGUCCAACCACUGUCGAUCUGUUAGUUAGGAGCGUUCAAAACCGACCUUCUUCUUUAUCAGAACUUGUCAUAGAUACGAGCAUGAUGAUGGGGCGAUGAUUAUCAGAAUUGUUAUAUUUAGCACCCACUGCAAACGCAUCUAUCUGCGGAUUGGAGCGGAUUGCGGGAGCAAACACAAACACAAACAUGUUGUAAAACACAAAAUACAGAAGUCAGGGAGGAGGAGCACCCGGUACAGGCACACUCUACCAGAAGCCCAGCAGCAUUUCAGACCCAUAAAAAGUUACGCAAAAGAUCUUUGGGGAGGACUGAGGCAACACCUACGGGUACGUAAGUACUAAGCAAAUCUGGUGCAUGCUCGUUUCUAAAUAUAAUCUGUAUGGGGUUUAGCUGGUAUUUAAUUCGUAAAUUUAUUUAAAUUUAAGUUUAAUUUGUGUAAGAUUUAUCUCUGUUUUUUAUAAUUAUCUUUGUAUAAAAAAAAUGCAAUUGGGUGACUCUCGGACUGGUGGCUCUUAGGAGAUUCAGUUUUUGGAAUACUUCUGAUAUAUACCCAACAAUUUAUGUAAUGAUAAUCCAAGAUUGUGAUGACAAGCUCGUCGAUAAAAAAGAAGAGCAGUUUGAUUGGAGUCCCUCCCUAUAUAUCUGAAUUUGAUGCCUUCAACUAAUGCCUAUUUAGAGCGGAAACGAAUGUAUCCUCACGAUUUGUUCGAUGAUGAUUGGAUUCUCCCAAGACUAAUAAAUUCCUUAACCCUAUUUUAUGAA